rnacentral:rRNA from 1 species
UACGUAGGUGACAAGCGUUGUCCGGAUUUACUGGGCGUAAAGAGCGCGCAGGCGGUCGUUCAAGUCGAGUGUGAAAGCCCCCGGCUCAACUGGGGAGGGUCAUUCGAUACUGAUCGACUCGAAGGCAGGAGAGGGAAGUGGAAUUCCCGGUGUAGUGGUGAAAUGCGUAGAUAUCGGGAGGAACACCAGUGGCGAAGGCGACUUCCUGGCCUGUUCUUGACGCUGAGGCGCGAA